rnacentral:lncRNA from 1 species
GUCCUAGAACUGCUGAACACAAGGGAGCAUCAUCGGCUCUCAAAUAAUUGGGUUACUCAGUAUCAAGCCCUUCUCCAUGAGAAUCCCCGCUUGUGGUUUAUUUCUAUAAAAACUUUAAAUCUUGCUACCUUCUUGCCCACAGAGACAGGUCCUCCUGAUCAUGACUGCUUGAGUGUCACUGAUGAGCUCUUUUCCAGCCGCCCUGACUUGCAAAUGACACCCUUGUUCAAUGCUGACCUCGUUCUGUUCACGGAUGGGAGCAGCUUCAUGGAAGAUCUGGUUCAUCAUGCUGGAUAUGCGGACAUCAGAAAGGCAAAGACUUCAUUGCACAAGGUAAAAAUAGAGCUGAUGCUGAAAGCCGAGAAAGACAACGCACUCAAAGCCCUGCUCUCACCACUCCGGAGGCUGGUGAGUCAACGCACGGCUGAAGAAUGGAAGCACCAACAAGGACGACAUGGAUUAUUGUGCUGUGCCAGAUCACCACUGCCUUAAGUUUCUUUGUUUUCCAACUGUGGGUGUUUAGGCCUAGCUAUGAAAAGUUUGAUGAACAAUAUGUGACUUUUAAAACGGUAAAAUGGGAACCGGAAGGCUAUCCAUUUACAAUAUUCUUUGAUAAAAACAUUAUAGAGGACCUCGGGUAACUUCUGACUGUGGGGAGCUAUUCUAAUGAAAAAUUAUAUUGCAAAGAGAAAACACAAGUUUGGAUCAAUGGCUCCCUUGUUGGACGAGCCACUGGUAAUUGUAACAACUGUAAACAAGGUCAAUGUAAUCCUAUAUCUAUGUAUAUGCCAGCCCCAUGGGAUCUUAUUUGGCUACAAGGAGUAAUAUAUUUCAUUAGGACAAGAAAUUAAAAAAAAAGAUCUUGAGGAAAUUCGAGACACACUUCAGGCUUUAGAAACCCAACUAGAUUCACUGGCC